rnacentral:tRNA from 1 species
GCAGUUGCUCAGUGGUAGAGUUCUCGCUUCCUAUGCGGGAAGACCUGGGUUCGAUUCCUGGCUGC